AGACAAUAGAUACCCUGGUAGUCCUGGCUGUAAACGAUGUCGACUAGAUCGCGGCGGCUCUGACGCCGUCGCGGUCGAAGCAAAAGUGUUAAGUCGACCGCCUGGGAAGUACGGUCGCAAGGCUAAAACUCAAAGGAAUUGACGGGGGCUCACACAAGCGGUGGAGCAUGUGGUUCAAUUCGAAGCAACGCGCAGAACCUUACCUGGGCUUGACAUGCUAGGAUUAUCCCCGUGAAAGCGGGGUAGGCCCUUCGGGUACGAACUAGUACAGGUGCUGCAUGGCUGUCGUCAGCUCGUGUCGUGAGAUGUCGGGUUAAGUUCCCUUAACGAGCGAAACCUUUACCCUUAGUUACCAGCGGGUUAU
rnacentral:rRNA from 1 species